rnacentral:sRNA from 1 species
UUCGAUGUUUGGCCACCAGGUCGAUGGC